rnacentral:rRNA from 2 species
UAAGCCUGUGAAGGUGGCCUGUGAGGGUUGCUGGAGGUAUCAGAAGUGCGAAUGCUGACAUAAGUAACGAUAAAGCGGGUGAAAAGCCCGCUCGCCGGAAGACCAAGGGUUCCUGUCCAACGUUAAUCGGGGCAGGGUGAGUCGACCCCUAAGGCGAGGCCGAAAGGCGUAGUCGAUGGGAAACGGGUUAAUAUUCCCGUACUUGGUGUUACUGCGAAGGGGGGACGGAGAAGGCUAUGUUGGCCGGGCGACGGUUGUCCCGGUUUAAGCGUGUAGGUGUGUGUUCCAGGUAAAUCCGGUUCACUUUAACACUGAGGCGUGAUGACGAGGCACUACGGUGCUGAAGUAACAAAUGCCCUGCUUCCAGGAAAAGCCUCUAAGCAUCAGGUAACAUCAAAUCGUACCCCAAACCGACACAGGUGGUCAGGUAGAGAAUACCAAGGCGCUUGAGAGAACUCGGGUGAAGGAACUAGGCAAAAUGGUGCCGUAACUUCGGGAGAAGGCACGCUGACACGUAGGUGAAGUGAUUUACUCA